rnacentral:rRNA from 1 species
UACGGAGGAUGCAAGCGUUAUUCGGAAUGAUUGGGCGUAAAGCGUCCGCAGGUGGCUAUGUAAGUCUGCUGUUAAAGAGUGAGGCUCAACCUCAUAAGAGCAGUGGAAACUACAUGGCUAGAGUACGUUCGGGGCAGAGGGAAUUCCUGGUGUAGCGGUGAAAUGCGUAGAGAUCAGGAAGAACACCAGUGGCGAAGGCGCUCUGCUAGGCCGUAACUGACACUGAGGGACGAAAGCUAGGGGAGCGAAUGGG